rnacentral:rRNA from 1 species
CCCCUAGUAACUGCGAGUGAAGCGGGAAAAGCUCAAAUUUAAAAUCUGGCGGCUUCGUCGUCCGAGUUGUAGUCUGGAGAAGUGCUUUCCGCGCUGGACCGUGUAAAAGUCUCUUGGAACAGAGCGUCAUAGAGGGUGAGAAUCCCGUCUUUGACACGGACCCCCAGUGCUUUGUGAUGCGCUCUCAAAGAGUCGAGUUGUUUGGGAAUGCAGCUCAAAAUGGGUGGUAAAUUCCAUCUAAAGCUAAAUAUUGGCGAGAGACCGAUAGCGAACAAGUACCGUGAGGGAAAGAUGAAAAGCACUUUGGAAAGAGAGUUAAACAGUACGUGAAAUUGCUGAAAGGGAAACGCUUGAAGUCAGUCGCGUCGCUCGGAACUCAACCUUGCUCUUGCUUGGUGUAUUUUCCGUUUGACGGGCCAGCAUCAAUUUUGACCGUCGGACAAAGGCUUGGGGAAUGUGGCAUCUUCGGAUGUGUUAUAGCCCCUUGUCACAUGCGGCGAUUGGGAUUGAGGGUUCGAGCACUUGUGCUUCGGAUGCUGGCGUAAUGGCUUUAAACGACCCGUCUUGAAACACGGACCAAGGAGUCUAACGUGCCCGCGAGUGUUUGGGUGUUAAACCCGAGCGCGUAAUGAAAGUGAAAGUUGAGACCUCUCACGAGGGCAUCGACGCCCGGACCAGACCUUCUGUGACGGCUCCGCGGUAGAGCGUGUAUGUUGGGACCCGAAAGAUGGUGAACUAUGCCUGAAUAGGGUGAAGCCAGAGGAAACUCUGGUGGAGGCUCGUAGCGAUUCUGACGUGCAAAUCGAUCGUCAAAUUUGGGUAUAGGGGCGAAAGACUAAUCG